GACAUGGGCAACACGUCGAAAAGCUUGACUACGACGGUACGACGCCGUUCCGGAACAGUGUAAACAUCUUGUUCCGGGGUCGAAAAAUGUCACCGCCGUAUAGAGGAGCUCCCUCCAAAUCAAAGAAACAUAGGCCAAACGGAAACGAAGGCCAUUGAUUCAAAUGGAGCUUCAACACAAGCUCAAAAUCGCUCUAGUUGUAGCUUCUUUCGCAGCGCUUACGAUCUUGUUUACAGCCAGGCGGCGCAGGAAGCGAAGGAGCGUUUCUACUUCCUGUUAUUUACGAGAUGAUCAGAAGCCUCAGUACGCAUUUAAACGUGUAUUGGCCGACAAUUCUUAUUCGGCGUUCAAGCACUUGAAGCUCAAUAUGAAUAAAGAUAAUGAUGUAAACUCGCAUCCUUACGAGUCAGAAAUACUAUCAUUGCUAGAAAAUUCUUCGCCUGAAUUCAAUUUUAUCAGUGAAAGAACGGAUUUAACUUUGAGUGACACUUAUGCUUGGGUUGAGACUGUGUCCCAAUUGGAAGAACUCGUGGAUGUGUUGAAUAAAGAAAUGGUGUUUGCUGUUGAUACUGAGCAGCACAGUCUAAGAUCCUUUCUGGGUUUCACUGCUUUAAUACAGAUCUCUACACACAAGGAAGAUUAUUUGGUUGACACUAUAGCUCUACACGAUUCAAUGAAUCUUCUCCGUCCUGUCUUUGCCAAUAGUCGUAUUUGCAAGGUGUUUCACGGUGCAGAUAAUGACAUUCUGUGGCUACAAAGGGACUUUCAUAUAUAUGUAGUCAAUUUAUUUGAUACUGCAAAGGCAUGUGAAGUGUUAUCCAAACCUCAGAAGUCGUUGGCCUACUUACUUGAAACUUACUGCGGGGUAGCUACGAACAAAAUGUUGCAGCGAGAAGAUUGGAGACAACGACCCUUACCUGCAGAUAUGGUGCAAUAUGCUAGGACAGAUGCCCACUAUCUCCUAUAUAUUGCAAACUGUUUACUCGUUGAGCUGAAACAGGUUAAUGAAAACUCUUCCACGGAUGAUAAAUUCAAUUUUCUUCUCGAGGCUAGUCGGCGAUCAAACAUGACUUGUUUGCAACUGUAUUCAAAAGAGACUGAAGGUUCUCCUGGAGAGUCUGCUGCAUCAUCAAUAUGGUCACGUCAUUUAAACAGUCAAGGUGGUAGUGCAUUAAUUUCCUGUAAAACUCAGUUUCAGGAUCGGGUGAGGAGGUUAUGUGCUUGGCGAGAUUUAAUGGCCCGAGUUCAUGAUGAGAGCCUGAGAUAUGUCUUGUCAGAUCAGGCUAUUGUAGCUAUUGCAAUUCAAGUGCCAAAAAAUACGGGGGAGUUAUAUGCAACUAUAGCACAAGUUGAUUUGAAUGUGGAUUUGAGUUCAAGUCUGUUUCUUCCAUCUCCCUCCUCUGUUGUUUGCAGCCAUUUGGAUGAUAUCCACUGUCUCCUCCAUGACAACUUUGGCGACCUCGAUAAUAUUUUUUUGGUGAUUUUACAGAACUGCAUAGGUUCUAAUGGCAGCUGCCCCCUUUCUAUAUUUAAUUAUGCCUUAUUGGUUAAGUAUAAUCUAAAAAUGAUGACAAUAUCUAAACAUAAUGAUAGAAAAAACGCAAAGCAAAUAUCCAAAAAAGCGUCUAGAGAGCUUUUUGUGCAGAAAUUUUCCUGCAAGUCUCCAGUUUAUCACAAUUGUAGGAUUUAUGCAAAUGAUGGACGCUUGCUUUGCUACUGUGAUCGACGAAAACUUGAAUGGUACUUGCGCCGAGAGCUGGCUGAGCUUGUUGCUGAUGAUCCUCCUGCCAUAAAGCUUCUUUUUGAACCUAAAGGCCGUCCAGAAGACGAGGGCAAUGACUUUUAUAUCCAGAGUAAAAAAAAUAUAUGUGUUGGCUGUGGCGAAGGAAACCACUAUUUACGGUAUCGUAUUAUCCCCUCAUGCUACAGGGUACACUUUCCCGAGCAUUUAAAAAGUCAUCGUUCUCAUGAUAUUGUCCUACUCUGUGUGGACUGCCAUGAAACUGCCCAUGCUGCUGCUGAGAAGUACAAGAGAGAGCUUGCUGCAGAAUUUGGAAUUCCUCUUUUUGUUCGUAGAGUGGUUGAUACCAAGGAAGCGUUUGAUAUGGCAGCUGAGCCAUCUGACUCGGAAACCAAUGUUCAGGAGGAAGGCGUGUCACCUUUAGAAUUGAGAACAGCUGCUAUGGCCCUAUUGAGGCAUGGACCAAGAAUGCCAUUAAAGCGUCAAGAGGAACUCAUGUUUGUUGUCAUGAAAUACUAUGGGCGGAGGGAGAUAUCUGAAGAAGAUUUAGAAAGGGCUCUGCUCGUUGGCAUGAGUCCUCAUGAGAGAAGACGACUCCAGAAGAAAAAAGGUCUGGCUUUCAAACACUCACCACAGAGUGUUUUUCCAGAUGCUGAGCGCCAGAAUGGUGCUUGUAAUAUUGACACGUCCACUGUGGACAGUUCAUCAGUUGAUGUUAACAAUCACAUGAACUCAGAUAGUGGUAGCGUGUCUGAAACAUGUGUGCCUGGUGGAGAGGUCAGCUUUUCUGAUAAUGGCUAUGCUAAAACUGCUCAACCAAAGUUCAAUUCGAAACUAUCACUCUUGGGACAUGGGCCACAUGGUAAACUAGUUGUGGAUUAUCUACUGAAGGAAUAUGGCGAAGAUGGCAUCCGACAGUUUUGUCAAAGGUGGAGACAAGUGUUUGUUGCUGCUAUUCAACCUCGUUUCUUACCCGCUGGUUGGGAUGUCAAUCACAGUGGUAGAAGGGACUUCGGCGAAUUCAGUUUGUACAAUCCUAAAAAGAAAGCUUUCCCUGAUAAUGAGCGAACAAUUUGAAGUACUGCAGCAGUGCUAUGUUGCAUGUAAUGCUAGCGUCUCAUUCUAUGCUAGGAAUUACUGCAUCUGUGCUCAUGUUGCAAGUAAAAUCUCUACAUAUUAAUGUUACACGUUACAUUUUAUUGUCUUUGAAUUUCUCUAGCGCUGAGGAGGUUGAUUUAUUCAAUUUUGUGCAGAUGGUCUGUAUUAUAAGAUUAAGAUGGCGGCCUUGUCUUUGUCCCCAUCUUGUUAGGGGAUAUAAUUUGCAAAGGAGUGAAAUUUCAGUAGAGCUUAAGCUACCAUUUAAAUGGAAUUCACGACUAAAGUCACUUCCAGAGUUCCAGGGACCAGCAAUUCAAUUGAACUUAUGUGGGAGCAACAUCUUAACAAUCAUCAGAAACAUGCAUUGAGUGGAUUGCUGGAGAUCUCACACUGCCCUACACAUUAUUAGUCUCUCUUCUCUAAGUUUGAUGGUCAGCUUCAAACCAAUUAAACAAACGCCCGUUAAAAUAUUACAGGUAAACAUUGCUUUCUUAAUUUUUUAAUUUCCCUUGGCUCACAUCAUCAAUCUAGAUUCUGGUUAGUUUGAAUUAAAUAUGGUGCAAGUAUUCUGGUCUAUAAUUUUCGAUAUUUCAAGUUGUGUCA